rnacentral:lncRNA from 1 species
AUCAAACACUGCCAGGUGCAGUGCUAUAUGCCUAACCUGAAUCUUCCCGGCAGAUGGGGGCCUAAACUCGAAAGCAUGCAGCUGAGGAUGAAGGCCAUGAUAGUCUGUUUUUCAUCAAAGGCUUGAGAUCACAGCAGCAGCAUGGAGCUGGAAGAACAAAAGAAGUUUGGGGCUCUGAAACAAACUGGGAGGGUAAGACAAAAGUGCAGCUGAAGAACUUGGAGAGCCGCUUGAGAAGGAGGAAAAGAUCAGGGAAGGAGGAAGUACACGUCCCCAUGCAGGGGAUGUGGAGUUGCACUCUCAUCUUGUGUGCUGCAGGAAGAGCAUCCAGCUCCAAAGCUUAUACACCAUGGGCAAGACGAAGGAAAAUUCCAGUUCUGAAUUUGCAGCCAGAAUUCAGGAACCAGAGGAAGGCGCUCAGGAGGUCAUACCUUUCAGGUUUACACCAAUGCAAAUUGCUCAUCUAGGACGGGUGUUUGGUUUUUGUUUUUUUCUGUGGAAAAAC